rnacentral:rRNA from 1 species
AGUGAACGCUGGCGGUAGGCCUAACACAUGCAAGUCGAACGGCAGCACAGUAAGAGCUUGCUCUUACGGGUGGCGAGUGGCGGACGGGUGAGGAAUACAUCGGAAUCUACUUUUUCGUGGGGGAUAACGUAGGGAAACUUACGCUAAUACCGCAUACGACCUACGGGUGAAAGCAGGGGAUCUUCGGACCUUGCGCGAUUGAAUGAGCCGAUGUCGGAUUAGCUAGUUGGCGGGGUAAAGGCCCACCAAGGCGACGAUCCGUAGCUGGUCUGAGAGGAUGAUCAGCCACACUGGAACUGAGACACGGUCCAGACUCCUACGGGAGGCCGCAGUGGGGAAUAUUGGACAAUGGGCGCAAGCCUGAUCCAGCCAUACCGCGUGGGUGAAGAAGGCCUUCGGGUUGUAAAGCCCUUUUGUUGGGAAAGAAAAGCAGCAGGUUAAUACCCCGCUGUUCUGACGGUACCCAAAGAAUAAGCACCGGCUAACUUCGU